rnacentral:rRNA from 1 species
GACGAACGCUGGCGGCGUGCUUAACACAUGCAAGUCGAACGAAGUGGCGAACGGGUGAGUAACGCGUAAUCAACCUGCCCUUCAGAGGGGUACAACAGUUGGAAACGACUGCUAAUACCGCAUACUGAAGGCGGGGAUUGCGUCUGAUUCGCUAGUUGGCGGGGUAACGGCCCACCAAGGCGAGGAUCAGUAGCCGGGCUGAGAGGAUGAACGGCCACAUUGGGACGGAGACAAGGCCCAGACUCCUACGGGAGGCAGCAGUGGGGAAUUUUCCGCAAUUGACGAAAGUCUGACGGAGCAACGCCGCGUGAGUGAUGACGGCCUGCGGGUUGUAAAGCUCUGUUAAUCGGGACGCGGUACCGGAAUAGAAAGCCACGGCUAACUACGUGCCAGCCGCCGCGGUAAUAC